CCUUCAGCCAACCCGAGCUCCUUCUCUCUUUUGACUCCUCCAAAAUUCUCCAAAUAUGAAGAACUUAAAUGAAAAUCCAACAUUUUCCAGAUGGCUUCCUCAAACACAAUAAUUAAUCCAUUUCCCUAGGUGCCUUGCCUGCUUCCAGACUCCAGCUGUUUACUCCCUCUUUCCAGGCUGCCAUCCUUUUAGAGCUUUCUGAGUGGAGUUCCCUCCUGUAGACCUCAGGCUUUUGUCUGCAAGGCUCAGCUCAGAUCUAUCUGAUACAAAUCCUUUGUGUGAGCUUUUCUGUUUUCCAUCUGUGCCUGGAGCUACUUUGCGUUCCCAGACCUGUCUAUUGGAGCUGUCUAUUCUCCUGCUCUGGUAUUGCCUCACUGCUGCUUGGAUCAAGCUGUGCUCCCAUGUACAGACUGUCUGAGAUUGGGAGUAGAAGUUACUUUAUGAAAACCAGAAGAGGUACUCUGUUGUCCUCCUGUGACACCUCCUUGGGAUUGCAGCUGGAAGAUGUCACUGGGACUUCGCUUUGCUCCCUUGCUCUGAACCAGACGCUUAUGGCAGGUAUGGAAACUGAACUUAACUAAGCACAACCAUCAGAUGAGCACCAGAAUUGGCACAGGAGUGAGAGAGCCAGAAAGAGAAAUUCAGGGUCAAACAGUGACACAUUCCAGCUGCUGUGUCAGUGCCUCAGCUGCUGUUGGCAACCACACUGCCAGCACAAAGGGCCUGUACCGAUAUCAGUGACUGUCACUGAAUAAAAAAGCACUUUCAGUUGAUUCCAUCAUCCUGCCUGUGGCACAGGAAUGCAGGCACAUAAAUAACAUGUGUGCACUUACUGUGAUAGGAGUAUUUCU